GACGAACGCUGGCGGCGUGCCUAAUACAUGCAAGUAGAACGCUGAAGGAGGAGCUUGCUCUUCUGGAUGAGUUGCGAACGGGUGAGUAACGCGUAGGUAACCUGCCUGGUAGCGGGGGAUAACUAUUGGAAACGAUAGCUAAUAUCGCAUAACAGUAGAUGUUGCAUGACAUUUACUUAAAGGGUGCAAUUGCAUCACUACCAGAUGGACCUGCGUUGUAUUAGCUAGUUGGUGGGGUAACGGCUCACCAAGGCGACGAUACAUAGCCGACCUGAGAGGGUGAUCGGCCACACUGGGACUGAGACACGGCCCAGACUCCUACGGGAGGCAGCAGUAGGGAAUCUUCGGCAAUGGACGGAAGUCUGACCGAGCAACGCCGCGUGGGUGAAGAAGGUUUUCGGAUCGUAAAGCUCUGUUGUAAGAGAAGAACGAGUGUGAGAGUGGAAAGUUCACACUGUGACGGUAUCUUACCAGAAAGGGACGGCUAACUACGUG
rnacentral:rRNA from 1 species